AGCUUGCUCUUCGAUUCAUCGGCUGACGGGUGACUAAUGCCUAGGAAUCUGCCUGGUGGUGGGGGAGAACGUUUCUAAAGGAACGCUAAUACCGCAUACGUCCUACGGGAGAAAGCAGGGGACCUUCGGGCCUUGCGCUAUCAGAUGAGCCUAGGUCGGAUUAGCUAGUUGGUGAGGUAAUGGCUCACCAAGGCGACGAUCCGUAACUGGUCUGAGAGGAUGAUCAGUCACACUGGAACUGAGACACGGUCCAGACUCCUACGGGAGGCAGCAGUGGGGAAUAUUGGACAAUGGGCGAAAGCCUGAUCCAGCCAUGCCGCGUGUGUGAAGAAGGUCUUCGGAUUGUAAAGCACUUUAAGUUGGGAGGAAGGGCAGUAAGCUAAUACCUUGCUGUUUUGACGUUACCAACAGAAUAAGCACCGGCUAACUCUGUGCCAGCAGCCGCGGUAAUACAGAGGGUGCAAGCGUUAAUCGGAAUUACUGGGCGUAAAGCGCGCGUAGGUGGUUCGUUAAGUUGGAUGUGAAAUCCCCGGGCUCAACCUGGGAACUGCAUCCAAAACUGGCGAGCUAGAGUAGGGCAGAGGGUGGUGGAAUUUCCUGUGUAGCGGUGAAAUGCGUAGAUAUAGGAAGGAACACCAGUGGCGAAGGCGACCACCUGGGCUCAUACUGACACUGAGGUGCGAAAGCGUGGGGAGCAAACAGGAUUAGAUACCCUGGUAGUCCACGCCGUAAACGAUGUCAACUAGCCGUUGGAAUCCUUGAGAUUUUAGUGGCGCAGCUAACGCAUUAAGUUGACCGCCUGGGGAGUACGGCCGCAAGGUUAAAACUCAAAUGAAUUGACGGGGGCCCGCACAAGCGGUGGAGCAUGUGGUUUAAUUC
rnacentral:rRNA from 1 species